UCGAAAUAUCAAAUCGUCGGGACUUCUGUCGUGGGUGAGAUGGUGCCGAUGCCACGUAAUUCGGGGCAGCGAGCUUCAUCUCUCCUCGACAGAAGCCUCUAAUGCUUUGAUUCUACAGA